GACGCCGCGAACAAAGCGGCCGUGGGACCCCGGAGCUACCUACUCUCCCUGCAGAGGACGGGGGUGCCCGCGCCGCCCGGGGUGCGCCUCCGCCGCGGGCUCCCCGCCGCCCGCCUCCGAAGACCACGCCGUCCGCCCCGAGUCUCGGCGACUUCUCCGCUCGGCGCGGCGCUGCGGGCGCCGACUCUCCUCGCACCCCAGCCCCUGGCCCAACCUCCGCAGCUGGGAAAAACCAAGCCGGGGGGCGGGGGAGGGCCGGGCCUGCCGGAGGCGUUUCCCCCCGCGCCGCCCACCCGCCAGCGCGCAGCAGGGGGGUUGAAGGAAGGACUCUGGGGUGGAGGGGGGCACCUGGGCCGCGCGCUUCCUCCUGGUGAAAAUUAACGAGGAAUGUGUCGGAAAAGAAAUUGACUGAUAUGCCCUACUCUAGGCUGGGCCUGACUGAGACGCCUAUUUGAACACAGUUCUUCUCCAAAUGCCUAUGACCUUCCUCCUAAGAUGAAUGGAGUAGCCGAGGCAUGUUCUUCUCUUGACAACUAUAGAAGCACAAUAGAAGGGAAGCCUAAACCAGGCAGAGAGGAAACUCUUCUUCUAAGGACAUUAAUAUUAUCAUGGACAUUAUCAUCAAUGGCUCACCUCCUAAUACUAUCACAUUGAGGCUUCAACAUGUGAAUUUGUUGGAGGGUGGAUGCAACCCCCCAUAACAUUUAGUUAAAAUGUUAUUAUAUAAAGAAAAGAAUUCAUUUUAAUUAUAAAAGGUAGUAUAAAUGCAUGUCUCUUAUUUUUCUUAACUGAUUUAAAACACAAUUGUAUAAAAUACCAUGUAUACAAUUAUAUGAUUAGAUAAGAACAUAUAGAAAUAUAUUUGCCGGGAUCCCUGGGUGGCGCAGCGGUUUGGUGCCUGCCUUUGGCCCAGGGCGCGAUCCUGGAGACCCGGGAUCGAAUCCCACGUCGGGCUCCCGGUGCAUGGAGCCUGCUUCUCCCUCUGCCUGUGUCUCUGCCUCUCUCUCUCUCUCUCUGUGACUAUCAUAAAUUAAUUAAUUAAUUAAUUAAAAAAUAUAUAUAUUUGCCAACAAUAGUACAAAGAAGGGUAAUGUUAACAAAGUCUUAUUGGGCUAAGAAAAUGACACUUGAUGGUAACUUGAAUCCAUGGAACAUAUGCA